rnacentral:lncRNA from 12 species
AAGAACUUCCAGGGGCCGUGAGAUAAAGGUGCCUCUUAGGUUUCAAGACUGAUGAUGUUCAAAAGGGCAGAAUAAUCCCUUUCAGGACUGAGGGCAGUCUACCCCUGUGACGUCCUGCACCGUUCUGAGACUAUUGCUAAGACGUAAUGGAAAAAAAAUGUUAUUUGAUAACAAAGUUGUUGCAUUUAUUUUGUUAUAUUAUUUAAGAAAAUUUAAGAUUUAAUUAAUAUUGCAAAAUGCAGAUGUUUGGGAUCUUGUUAUUGCUAACUUCUAAAAGGCGAAGAUGUUGAGAGAUUGUCUUUUGUCCAUGUUAAGUUACCGUAGUUUGGGUAUGCUAACCACUAGAGGGCACUGUAUGAUUAUUAUUGAUGGAGUCCAACGGAUGGCUUAGACUGCUCUGGGUUGUAGUAAAAUAAAGAACGCUCUUGAAUAAAUAGAACGAGCCGUGUCUUACCUGAUAACAUGACAGAUGGUGGCCCUGUUUUCAAGCGAGGAAACUCGCUGAGUGGUUAAGAUGGUGACUCAGACGAAGACGAUGGGAACAGGAAUGCAGAGGAGGAUGAAGAGGGUUCAGGCAGAUCAGGUAGGUUCGACGAAGGGCGUUCAGGUAAGUUAGGAGAUCGGUGCAAGACCAGACAAUGGGUGAUGGUGACGGAGGGCUUUAUAUGUGGCACUGGUGAUGAUGCACAGGUGUUCAGAAUUCUGGUGAUUGGGAACGAGUGGGCGUGGCGUAAGUGUCCGAUUCAGGGAGUGUAGAUGGUGUGGCUGUGACAGUAACGUGUGCAUCAAAAAGUGAAAAUAAAUAUAACAUUUUCUUUCUCUGUCACAAAAAAUACAAUAUCAAUAUUUACCAUUGCAUUGCUUGUUAUUCCAACUUCUCUACUCGUUGUAGCUGUCCUUGCUCUGAACACAUGAACCAUGUGGAAUGCAGGUUCAAUAACUCUCCAAAAGGCCAUUAAAUGGUUCUACAUAUCAAGUCUAGAUUGGAUGAGACAUGUUUUCAGAAAAAAGUUUGUUUGCCUACACUGAACCUGGAGGAUACUUUAAAAAUGUUUAAUGUAUUGACAUACAAGUGAAAAAAAAAGGUAAGUCUGUAAAAAGAUUUUAGCUGGGGUUUUAGCUUAUUCUCCCUCGUGUCAUUCUAAACCGUUAUGAAUUUCUUCUGUGGGGUCUAUCUAAACAGCUGACGGUAAC